CUCCUUUGUUAUAGAGGGCAUCUCAUAUCUAUUUGGUUAAUUCUUUCAGAUUACCGUAUUGCGUUCUCAAUGAACUGAUUCUCGUUUUUCCCUGUCUAUAACUUUUGUUGGUGGUUGAUAUUAUGGUUUUACAGCCAUUUUUUCCCUUUUUCUUUUAUCCAUAUAGUGCACCUUUGUUAACGAUUCAAUGACUGUGGAACAUGCCAGAGAUUAUGGACACACUCAUCUCUCUGAGAUAAUAAGUCAUGCUGAGAGGUUACAGAACAGAGCAAUCCUUUUGAUUCACUUCUCAGCACGUUACACAGUAGAGGAAAUUCAACAAGCUGUAAGUGCUUUGCCUCCUAGUUUAGCUGGUCGAACUUAUGCGCUUACAGAAGGUUUCUGACAAGUUGAGAGAGUUUACUUGAUACAUACCUGACCAUGGAGGUUUAGCCUCCAAACCACCUGAGACUAUUGGACGCGGGUAGAAUUUAUAGUCCAUAGAUGAUGAAGACAAGGAGAAGUGGAGUGCAGAGCAAAAUCCAAUGAUGCAUGGUAUGUUUGGAUUGCCGUUUGAAUGACCAAAAACAUGCAGUUGCACUUUCUUAUAGUGAAAUUGGAGGAGCAACAGCAGUUUUUGGUUGAAUGUAAUGCCAUCUUUACGUUGGAAUGAACUGUUUUCCAAACAUAGGUUAAACAUUAUUUACCUACAUUUUUAUCAGGCUGUUUGUAGUAAUUUUUAUUUGCUA